rnacentral:rRNA from 1 species
UCUACGGGAGGCAGCAGUGGGGAAUUUUGGACAAUGGGCGCAAGCCUGAUCCAGCCAUGCCGCGUGUCUGAAGAAGGCCUUCGGGUUGUAGAGGACUUUUGUCAGGGAAGAAAAGGCCGUUGCCAAUAUCGGCGGCCGAUGACGGUACCUGAAGAAUAAGCACCGGCUAACUACGUGCCAGCAGCCGCGGUAAUACGUAGGGUGCGAGCGUUAAUCGGAAUUACUGGGCGUAAAGCGGGCGCAGACGGUUACUUAAGCAGGAUGUGAAAUCCCCGGGCUCAACCCGGGAACUGCGUUCUGAACUGGGUGACUCGAGUGUGUCAGAGGGAGGUGGAAUUCCACGUGUAGCAGUGAAAUGCGUAGAGAUGUGGAGGAAUACCGAUGGCGAAGGCAGCCUCCUGGGAUAACACUGACGUUCAUGUCCGAAAGCGUGGGUAGCAAACAGGAUUAGAUACCCUGGUAGUCCACGCCCUAAACGAUGUCAAUUAGCUGUUGGGCAACUUGAUUGCUUGGUAGCGCAGCUAACGCGUGAAAUUGACCGCCUGGGGAGUACGGUCGCAAGAUUAAAACUCAAAGGAAUUGACGGA